rnacentral:misc_RNA from 1 species
AGGAUUUCUGCAGGCGGCAAAAUCUCGCAGAGCUCCACAAAGCGGAAGCUACUUCGCUCAUCUUUUCGCAAACAUGUCUGGCUCAAGGAGGAAGACCAGGGAACCUAAGGAAGAAACUGUGACUCUCGGUCCUUCAGUGAGGGAGGGCGAGCAUGUGUUUGGCGUGGCUCACAUUUUUGCCUCAUUUAACGACACAUUUAUUCAUGUGACUGAUCUUUCUGGGAGGGAAACUCUUGUCCGCAUUACAGGUGGUAUGAAGGUGAAAGCUGACAGGGAUGAAUCCUCCCCAUAUGCAGCUAUGCUUGCAGCACAGGAUGUU